UAGGGAAUCUUCCACAAUGGACGCAAGUCUGAUGGAGCAACGCCGCGUGAGUGAAGAAGGUCUUCGGAUCGUAAAGCUCUGUUGUUGGUGAAGAAGGAUAGAGGCAGUAACUGGUCUUUAUUUGACGGUAAUCAACCAGAAAGUCACGGCUAACUACGUGCCAGCAGCCGCGGUAAUACGUAGGUGGCAAGCGUUGUCCGGAUUUAUUGGGCGUAAAGCGAGCGCAGGCGGAAUGAUAAGUCUGAUGUGAAAGCCCACGGCUCAACCGUGGAACUGCAUCGGAAACUGUCAUUCUUGAGUGCAGAAGAGGAGAGUGGAACUCCAUGUGUAGCGGUGGAAUGCGUAGAUAUAUGGAAGAACACCAGUGGCGAAGGCGGCUCUCUGGUCUGCAACUGACGCUGAGGCUCGAAAGCAUGGGUAGCGAACAGGAUUAGAUACCCUGGUAGUCCAUGCCGUAAACGAUGAGCGCUAGGUGUUGGGG
rnacentral:rRNA from 1 species